ACGUAGGGGGCGAGCGUUGUUCGGAUUUAUUGGGCGUAAAGGGCGUGUAGGCGGUUCGGUAAGCCUGGUGUGAAAGGCGCAAGCUCAACUUGCGAUCCGCGCCGGGGACUGUCGGACUAGAGUUUCGGAGGGGAAGCUGGAAUUCCAGGUGUAGGGGUGAAAUCUGUAGAUAUCUGGAAGAACACCGGUGGCGAAGGCGAGCUUCUGGCCAGAGACUGACGCUGAGGCGCGAAAGCGUGGGGAGCAAACAGGAUUAGAUACCCUGGUAGUCCACGCUGUAAACGAUGUGCACUAGGUGUUGGGGCGUUCGCUUCAGUGCCGUAGCAAACGCGUUAAGUGCACCGCCUGGGGAGUAUGCUCGCAAGGGUG
rnacentral:rRNA from 1 species